rnacentral:misc_RNA from 1 species
CGGACUACAGGGGUUUCUAAUCCUGUUUGCUCCCCUAGCUUUCGUGCCUCAGCGUCAGUUAUGGUCCAGUGAGCCGCUUUCGCCACAGGUGUUCCUUCCGAUAUCUACGCAUUUCACCGCUACACCGGAAAUUCCACUCACCUCUCCCAUACUCAAGCCCGGCAGUUUCCCGUGCAGGCUUUGGGUUGAGCCCAAAGAUUUCACACAAGACUUGCCAAACCGCCUACGCACCCUUUACGCCCAAUAAAUCCGAACAACGCUUGCCCCCCUCGUAUUACCGCGGCUGCUGACAC